rnacentral:lncRNA from 1 species
AGCGGAAUCCGAGGGACUGGCAGAAUCAAAGGGGGAUUGUUCCAUGAAGAGGCGGAGAAUGACAUCAGCGGUGGAGGGAUCGUUGAAGGAAGAGGUAGUGGUAUUAGGAUUGGUGCUGGUGGCUGUGGUGGAGGAGGAAGAGGUGCGGCGUAGCUUCUGGGAGGACUCGGACAUGGUCUUGUCGGCGAAGGUUUCCAUGAUUGCUGCGGUGGAGGAGAUGCGCAUGGCGGAGAUGUGGUGCUGGGGCACGCGCUGCCGCUUUCGGAAGCUGUUUGGGAUCAUCCGGGAG